GUGAAAUUACUGUGAUCCUGAAUGUAGAAAACUGCAUUCUGAACUGUAUACUGAGUAUGACUGUAUACCGAGUUUUCAUUGUGCAAAAUCAAGCUGUAGGUUUAGGAUGAAGUGAAAUACCCAGCAUAAAAAUCUAUAAAGUAGUGGUUUUCUUAAUAAACACAUGCACAGUUUGUGCAACACAUGUAGUUUUUGUCAUUCAGCAAGGCACAUGCUGCAUCAGGAAGGCAGAGCAGUGGUUGUGGGGUUUAUCUUCCAUCUCUCAUCCACCAGGUGCAGCCCUUGGGAGGACUGGAAAGGUCAAAGGUGCAUGGGCAGAUGCUAUUGUUUCCUGCACUCUCCAACAGUUCCUGGCAUUGGAAAGGAUGGCUGCUCUGCUCUGCUCCAGCCAGUUCAGGCUGUUGAAGGACAACCAUACACUGCUGCUUCCCUGUCAUCACAAGCAUGGCUUGAAUGAACAAAACACAGGUGCUAGUGCCCUCUUCCUGCAGCUGAACUGUUCUGCUCCCAUUGCAGGUCAAGAAAACCACAGUGGAAUUAUGGGCUCCCUAGCCCAGUACAGAGCAGGCCAGAGCAGAUUAGCUAAGCUGCUCAUGGAAGGAAUGUACACUGUCAACCUGGAAGAACAGAAACAUUACAAUCUCUUUUACUAAGCUUCCAAAAAUUGGCUUCCUCCAGAUAACUCUUUCUGUGCUGCUGCCUCCUUCAGACUUGGAUUAAACAGACUUGCUCUAUGAGAGUCAAGGGAUUUGAAGGUCCCCUGGAGGAAUCCUAGAGGGAGGAAAAAUAGCAUCACCUCCUUCCUGAGACAUCUGAGGAUCUGUGCCUCAGUGAUCCCUGCAGUGCCAGGACAUGCUCUGAAGUUUAAGAGGGCCAGGUGGGGGAAGCAGCCUGCUGUGCUUGGGUCUCUUGUCUCCCAUUGUGCCUCCCUAGGAGGAGAGAGAAAAUUGUCUCAGGAAUCAAAUGCCGUCAUGGAAACAGAAAGGUUAUGAAUAGGUGGAAGGACAUGUCAGCAGCAGGGCAAGCUAGCAGGCUGUCCAGGGUUGGGCUGUGGGUGCGAAGCAGCAGCAGCCCUUUUCUUCCGGUGUGUGUCAGCAUAAAAGAGGGAGGCUUGGGCCUGUCCUUUGGAGCAGGGACGUGUCACACAGUGCUCCAGGUAAUUGCGAUGGGCUCUCCAGGACUGGUACUGCUUUAUCCCACUGGAAGCCCUGGGCUAGGUAACCAUGCCCCAGGCUUGUCCACAGAAGGCUUGGGAAUAUUGAUCUAAGCAUGGACAGCCAAUGAUCCCUAAGCAUCACAAUACAAAAGUGUAUUGACUUUUAGACAAGUCUCCAGCAGCAAAGGAGCUGGGGCUGAAGAGUAGCUUCUCUCUGCUGAGCUGCUUCCAGAAUAAUGAUCAAUAUUUACAAAGUCCAAGGAGAUCAUCACUGGUACAGCCUAUAUGGGGGGCGUAGCCAGAUGCUUGAAUCUAUUUAAGAUGUGAAUCCACAGAGUCAUGGAGCAGCCACUGCUAAAAGGAAUGGCAGCCCAAAGCAUAGGAUGCAAUGAGUGCUGGUGCUCUUAGAAAGCUGUCUGCCUUCCUGCUUCCUGCUGGGAAGCAGAGAGCAGAGCACUGGCAGCACUGGACUGUUUGGUACUACGGUCCUGUCCCCAUGGUAGAGCUGUUUUCUCUCUCUUUCAAAGUUAUCCAGGGAAAUCUGGGCUUUUGCCUGUUUGGGAUACCUAAAUAAGCUGCCAGAAAGCAGUUUCUUAUUUACUGGCAUUUAGAUUGAGAGAGACAGAGAAUGAACCUAAUUUAUAUUCAAACAAAAAUCAGACUUUGGAAGCACCUGGUGUCUCAUUAAAAAACAUUAAGGACAGUGAGCAUUAGUGCAACCUCCUGAAGCAGCAGACAGUCUCUGAAAAAGAUGCUUUAAAUAUAAUAGGUAUUUUUGUUUAAAAUAUGUUUGUGACCUAAAUAUAAUUGAAUUUCCAUAACUUUGAAUGGUGUGAUGCUAAUGAAGCAGGCAGAGAUGGCAGAGAGGAAGCUGAGGCAGCCACAUCGGAAGCAGCUCCACUGCAGUGCAUUGGAGUCCCUGUGUGCACUUCAUAGCCACCAAUGCAUCAGCCCUACCCAGGGCUGGCCAGGCAGCAGGAGGAAACCUUGGGCUACUCAGCCAGAGAAGUGGGCAGGGAUCCAGCUGGAAAUAAUGAAGGCUGAUCAAGUGCUUUUCCAUGAGCAUUAAUAUCUUUGUACAAAAAAAGGUAUGUCUGGCAAGGAGGAGAAAAUCACAUCUCAUAUAGAUGUGAUUAAAGCCCUGACAUACUGCUUGUGCUUGUUUUUCACCUGAGAUCUGUAUCGCCAACCUCUGCCAUCCCAUUACUUGCUGGAAGAAGGAGAGUAAGCAGUGAACUAAAAUUGUGCAUAGAGCUGAGAAGCCCAGCUCAGUUCCUCCUGGUAAAGAGAUCCUCCAAGUCUUAAGCAUUUAUUUUCUGCACUUCUGGCAAUGGGAAUCAGCCUGAGCCAAUGUCAAAUUUGCCAGGAUCUGGUUGCACAGUCCAUGCUUUUGCUAUUUUUCAUGACAUGUAUUGUGGCGGGGGCAAAUGUCAGACACCACUAAAGUUUGUGACUGGUUACCUGGUUGUGCUCUAGGUUGCAGUAUCUGAACCAGCUCUGGCCCAUGUGAGGCAAUGACUGCUUGGGUCAUUUUGGUUGGAUUAUCAAUAUCUGCUCUUUGCAAAGGUGCUGGUGGUUGUUCUUCCAGUCAGUGCUGGUGGGGUGUCAUAAAUUCAAUCUGUCUGCAGUUGCACACAGGUGUCAAUUUCAAGUUAAUCUUCAAGCCCUUUACAGCUACCACCACCAAGCAGCUCCAACUUGUGCCAUGUCCACUCGUGGGACAUGUGGCUCUCUAAUGCCCGGUGCACCAUGCAGGUCUUGGCUGUGACUGCCUCACCUGUGCCACAUCCCAGCAGAGAGCUUUAAUGAAUGGUAAGUUUGUGUUUUCUCCAGAAGUGAGCUCUGGCUGGACUCAACCCCCUGAAAUUCCUGCAGUGGGUAGGGAACAAGCAUCAACCCCAGGCUGGUCACACAUUCUUUGCUGCUUGAACUAGACGUGAUUUGGUAGGAGUGAGUUUGAUUUUUAUUUUUUUAACCAUUUUUCUUCUUGUUCCUUGGGUAUAUUUUGGGUUUCUAAAUUUCUCAUGUUUCUUGCUGCUUCUAAUAAGAAAAAACCUUUUUUUUUUUUUCUUUUAAUGUAAAUGAGGCUGUAAAAUUUUGGUGGAGAGACAUAUCUGCUAUCCCUGUCCUGUCACCACAAUUAUUCUUCCAUUGCCACACAGUGCAUUCUUCCAAGAAGAUGUAUGCUUUCAACAACUUUCAGCCUUUCUGGUGAUCUCAGGAGAUGAAAUCUGUUCCCAAUACAACACAGAAGAGUAGAGGGAAAUGGAGUUAGAAGGAGUCAUGGCCAUGCUGCAGGAUUUAUGGAGCAUAUUGCCAGAAAGAACUCUGUGUAGAAUGUGGUCUACUGGAGAUGUUUACUUUCCUUCCUUCCUGACCUGGCUACUUUCUGCUGCCCUCCUUUUGUAUUUUGAAAAGGAAGAAUAUGAAAAAUAAUGAAUUUUCUCUUUAAAUUGAGAUAACAAAACAAAUGAUACUCAAGCCUGCAGCUUAAUGGCAAGGAAUCAAGGAGAAAAAGUGUUUGCAGAUGACUCUCAGCCCAUUUUGCUGGUAACUUUUUCUCACACCAAGGGCUGUAACUGCAUAAAAAUCACAGAAUCUCAGAGGACCUCACAGAAGAGCAGGAGCUGUAUUGCUGGAGUGUGGGUGGACUCUCCAACCCAUCCCAAGAGGACAGAGCAGGGGGCUCCUAUGCACAUUUCCAAGGCACUGCAUGACUGUAGGAUGCAGUCCUGUGAAAGUGUAGAGGAAGGUGAAGAGGUAUCAAGAGAGCAAUAAGUAGGGCACUUAUCUCCUCCUUAAUCACAGUCCAGUCUUCAGGAGGUCUGCAGGGAGAACUAAUGGAUUAAAUGCAGGUAUUAAAUGAAAUCUUGGAAACAUUUCCCUCACCUGCAGGACUGAGAAGCUGGUGGUUAUGAGGGAGUGCUCUCAGUGCAUUUGAGCUUUGAAAGAGGACCAAAGGAGCUGGGGACAUGGUUGACCCUGUACAGCCAUGGGAUUGAAUAACCUGGGCUUUUGCUGUUGCCAGGGACAAUCCUGAAAUUUCCUGAAUAUAUUGUUCAGCAAUUCCCAGGUGGACUAAACAAGGUGCACCUUCUCAAAUUGCUUUCCUUCUCAAAUUCUUCCUGAGGAGGAGGUCAUUGUGUAUUUUUUUUCGCUUGCUGCAGUGCUUGACCAUCUCCAGGUUAUGGGUAUGUGAGCAAAGAGCCGAAGCUCUUCUGCAGCCCAAGACUACAGCAGCAUCCCAAGGGAUGCCUUGAUCUCUUAUUGAUAUGGCCUGCACAAAACCUUGCAUGGGUGUCUUCAAAAUGCUUGUUUGGGUCUCCAGGUGCCCUUCUGUCAGAAGGAAGGCUCCAGGACGUACAGCUGAAGAUGAGGGGUGAUUUCUGACAUGAUGGAAGGCUGAGUGCAGAUGGGAGCUCACCAGAAAGGUUUCAAACAAGAUGACUACUAAAUGUAAAAGAUACAAUUCAGAAAAAAACACUGAAGAGAAUAUCCUCUCAUUUCUAUCUAAAAUACAGAUUCAGAUACAUAUUUCCCACAAUGCACUGACGUGUCUUAUUUAACUUCGUUUAUGUAUCAAUUUAACAUCUAAAAUUUUUCCACAUUUUCCUAAUUUUGUCAACUUUUAUUAAAACUCAUGGUGGCAAUCUCACGAAUGUCCUUUGAAACACCAAUACCAUCUAAACCAGUACAAGUCAGCAACAGAAUGCCUCAUGUGUCUACUGCUUGUUUCUCCACUGGAAAAAAAAAGAAGUAAUUUUUUUUUUUACUGUGUCAAAACCAAAUUGUUCCCUUUUUUUUUGUUGUUGUUAUACAACAAAGCAAUAAAGCAAUGUGGUCACUCAAUGGGACUCCUUUCUGUGCCUGUCAAACCUGUUACUGAGUUUGCCUAUGUCCUACACUGUCCGGUCUCCCUCUGCGCCAUCCCACAACUCUCAUUUCCAUCAUUCUUUCUCCGCUUCUAGAUUUGUGUCCAGCUUAGGGAAAAACUUUCAAAAGGGACAUACAUGGCUUAAAUGCACCAGUAGUGAGACCAAGUUUUUUCCUCAGUUGGUGUUUAUAAACAGGACUGAUUAUAUUUUAUUGGUCAGAUUUGGUUUGGUUUGGUUUGGUUUUUUCCCUACAAGUCAGUUUUCCUGACAGCACACUGGCAGUGUGAGGAUCCUUGCUUGUCCUUUUGGACACUGACGUAGUAUGUAAUCGUCAAUACCCAGGCUCUCCAUAGUCAUUCUCUGGAAGAGAAACAUUGGUAUUCAAAAAAUGUCUGCACCUUAUUCCAACUCCAAAGUUAUCAUUCAUUCUUCUAAUUUUCAUCCUUUUCUUGACUUAAAACAGUCUUAUCUCUGUCCUCCCUAGAACUGUAAAACUACUGUGUUACCAGUUUGUCUUCCUCUAGUACCCCCUGACUCCCAGACAGACUUUUUGCAAGUCUCUGUGACAUUUUCUUCAUCCUAAUUAUUUCAUUUUUAACCUUAUCUUUCCCUUUCCUAUUUACAAUUCAAAUUGUUAUCUUUCUUUUGGGUUUUGUUAGCCUUUUUUUAAACUUUCAUUGCCUCUGGUGAAUAUAGUAUCAGUAGAACAUGACAUUCUGCAAAUAGCUUCAACUGGGUUUUGACUUUUCCUCUUCCUUAUUCUCCAAAACUCUGUACUUUCAUUUUUACAGAUUGCUUACUCAGUUCCAUGCCCUUUUUAAUUUCUGUCUCAUUGCCAUAGUCCUUAUAUAUUUUGUUUCCCAUACAAAGU